rnacentral:lncRNA from 1 species
AAAAAAAAAAAAAAAAGAAGUCGUGGAUAGUAGUUAUGUUUUAUUUAUUUAGUACAUAAGUAUUAGAUAAUAAUCACAAACCAAAAAAUAAGAAUUUGUUUGGAAUGAUAUAUUUGUUCAGCAAACUAUAUUAUACCAAUCAAAUUUAUUCUAAAAGGAUAAAGAUAUUUAGACAAUAAUUUUUUUACAAUAUUUGAACAUCAUCUUAUAUGUCAUUGUGUGAUUGAUCCAUGAUGGUAUCAUUGUGUCAUUUGAACCAAUCACACAAUGACACAUAUGAUGAUGUUCAAAUGUUAUAAAAAAUAUUGUCUAUGUAUCAUUACCCAUUCUAAAAUUACACCAUUACAUUGAUUCUCCUUAAUAUUUGUUACCCAAACCAUAUUCAAAUAUGUUUUUCUACUUGUUUUAGGGAAAACUCUUCCACGCAUAACUUGAUUUUCUUCACAUAGAUAUGCCGAGGUCAACCUAAGCAUUGAAUAUUUAAAUUGUUAAGCUCUUAAUAGCCUAAUAAUGAUGACUUUCGCUUCACUUUUGUUUGGUAUGGCUUCAAUGCAACAUAGUUUUUUUGGUAUGGUUUCAAUGCAACAAAUAUCUCAACAACAACAAUAUGUACAACUAAUUAUUUACAUUUUCAAACUUGUCUUUACAUUCCUUCACCAACCACGUUCAAGAUAUAUGUUACUUUUUUAAUCACAUUUUAUCUUUUUAUUCACAAAUAUUGUACAUUUCUAUAAUUACAUUUAUGAAAGACGAAAUAAAAAUAAAUAUAAAGUAAUAAUUGAUAAAGAAGUUCAACUAAUACUUACACUUACGUUUUUUGGUUGCUGCAUAUACCUUUUAUUGAAAGAGAAAAUAAUCCACAUAAACUCGAUUUCUUUCCGUUUUCUUUCUUAUUGUUGGCAUGAAUAUUACAUAAUAAUAUUUAUGCGUGAUGUAAAGCAUAUAAUUCUUGCAUUUUAUAUAUUUAUGCAAACCUUUCAUUUACAUUGAUUUCCUAUUUUCUCUCAACAAUUAUGUUUUUUCACCAUAUUAAUCAAUCAAAAGAUUAUAUAGUGCUCCUAAUGAAAACUAACAUGCAAAUACCAUUAUAUACUUAAUGUUUUACAAUUAAUACCUCUUUUAUCAACUCGUAUGUUUUUCAUAGAACAAUAUUUUUGAAAAUACAAAAAUUGUGACAACAACACUACCGAAUGAAUAUAAGAUAAUCUAUUCUACAUAAAAAUACAAACUUUUUCUAAUGUCCAUAAAAAAAAUUCAAGCCUAUAACAUAUAACAUGUUGAAUAGAAUCUAAUCUUGAAAAACAAAACCGACCGUUCAAAUUAGAUUUAAUUUAUAAUAGAUUUCUCUUUAUCAUUAUGUUUUUGUUAUUGCUAGUAAUCUAUUUCUUACCAUUCUCCAAAUACAAAAUUUAACUUUAAAUGACACUUUAUUUUUCCAAGCUAAGAUAUAAUAAAUAUUUGUUUGGUUUAUUAGUGUUAUAAUAAUUUGUAUAACCAUUUCAUCGAAUACUUUUUAUUUUAUUCAGCUUUCCACAUUCAUUAUCUUUCCAUGGUAGGUUUUACUUCAGCAUUCCUAGAUUUUGUUUUCUUUUUUUUCUACUCAAAGAUUUUCUUUACCCACUUAAAUGUCUAAUCCAUGAUGACUCUGAAGUCUAAGUCAAUUUCACAAAACUUGUUUGUAAUGUAAGAUUUGCAUUCACUUAUAUAAUAUGAAUUGAUUUUAUCUCUAGUCGAUGUGGAACUUUCAACACUAGAGAUCACUCAUGAAUAAUAUCAAAGGGUUGAAAGUGUUAGGACAAUGGAGUGAGGAACUUGAAAUUGUAAAGGAAGUUGUAUGGAAACAUCAUAAAUUGGAGUUACGUUAGAUGACAUUCACUUCCAACAAAUAACAUAGGAGGAUAAUAAUAUGUUAAUCCAUGGGUUUGAUGAAAAUGAAUUAAAGAGGUAGUAUAGGAAUGUCGUAAUUACAAGAGCCAAGUUUAGAUAGAUUUAACUUCAUCUUUAUCAAGAAAUAUUGGGAUGUUUUACAUAAGCAUAUCAUAGAGGUUGUCCAAGAUAUUUCUACAAAAAUGGUAUUGUACCAAAGGGAAGCAAUGCAUCCUUAUUCACCUUAGUUCCUAAAGUAGUGAACUUCAUUGGCUUAAAUGACUAUAGACUUCUUUAGUAGGAUGCAUGUACAAGAUAAUAUAAAAAAUCCUAGCUAAUAGAUCGAAGAAUAUAAAGUAAUAGAUCAAUAUGCAUUUAUAUUAGGGAGAAGAUUGCUUACCAAGAUCAAAGGGAAAAAAAAGUGGAGUAAUGAUAAGUUGAAAUAAGGAGUUUUUACAGUCUUGAUAAAUGUUAAUUUAAUCUAUUAAGAGGAUUGAAACAAUGUAACUUCAUAACACCUUUCCUAUUUUUAAUAGGUACACUUGAUCUUUCUGGAAUGAUAAAUCAUACAAUUAGAAUACAACUCUAUACAGAAAUAAAGAAAUAAAAAUAUGGUAAAAUCAAGGUUAUAACUUACUACAAUUUACUUAUUACUUAUGAUAUGAUACUUUGUUUUUGUGUAAAAUGAAUAAUCAAAAUAUUUUGACAAUUAAAAGUAUAUUUAUAUGCUUUGAGAUGACUUUAGGGCUUUGGAUUAACUUCCACUAAAAUAAGGCUAGGGUUUUGGGAACACACAAUAGUAUAAUACAUGCAUUUUUUGAAAAAUUGAAUUGUAAUGCUAUGAAAGUUCUGUUUAAGUACUUGGGAAUGAUAAUGGGUCUAACAAAACAAAUCUUUUGGAACAAUUAUCAAUAAAAUCCAUAAUAAAAUCCAAUUCUCAGUUUUAAUAUUUGAAUUUUUCAAUAAUCCGACAUCUAAUAAAAUAUAACAUUGACUUUCCUUAAACGUCUAAUAUUUUUAAAUAAGAACUUUUUAAUAUUUUUAAGUGAAUUUUUUUGAUAUUUUAAAUAAACAUCGAUGCUCAAAUAAUCCGACAUCUAUUAAAAAUAUGACUUUAAUCUCCUUGAAUUUAAUGUCUAAUAAUAUAAAAAGGUUUUUCCCAACCAAAUUUUUAAUAUUUUAAAUACCAUAAGACGUGAACGAUAUUUGUUAAAGAUAUGAUGUUUCUCUAACAUUAAACUCUUCAUUUUAUUUCUAAAAAGAUUACCAAUCAUUUUUAACAUUAAUUAUUUUUUACUGGCAUUAAAUAAAAGAUAUUAUAAACUCAUUUUGAAGAGGAAGUGGAAAGUAAAGUCUGUAAAUUAUUAGAGUAACAUUGAGAAAUGAGUAUAAAGAAACCUGAUUUGUGUAGUGUAGUAGCAGGAGAACAAAAUAAUAGAUUUGGAAAGAAAGGAUGAAGAUGAUCCACCCAACCCAACCAUCCUCAUAAUUAACUGCGUCACUAUUUACAGUUUGUAACAGUAACAACCAUGGUCACAGCAGCCACCGCCUCUUCAUUAUUUAUUUAUUUAUUCUCUUCAACAAUCACUGCGUCUCUCACUCGCAAACUGCAACCAUGGAAGGGAAGAAGAAAACCACAAAUGGCCUUCUCUUCCUGUCUCUCGCCCUCGCCCUCUCUCUCUCGGCCGCCGCAACCCUCCCAUUCCAACUCCAAACCCAAACUUUAACUCUCCACUCCCUCCCCAACCCACCCACCCUCUCAUGGCCCGAAGCCGAAGCCCUUGCAGAACCCGACCCGGAAGAUGCUCUCUCCCUUAACCUGCACCACAUAGAUGCACUCUCCUCCGAUAAAACCCCGGAGCAGCUCUUCCACCUCAGGCUCAAACGCGACGCCAAAAGAGUCGAAUCCCUACUCACACUCGCAGCCCUCAACAGCAGCCACGCGCGCAGAUCCGGCUCUGGUUUCAGCAGCUCCAUCAUAUCCGGUCUAGCACAAGGAAGCGGCGAGUACUUCACCCGCAUAGGCGUGGGUACUCCCGCUAGGUACGUCUACAUGGUCUUGGACACCGGAAGUGACGUCGUUUGGCUCCAAUGCGCACCCUGCCGCAAAUGCUAUUCCCAAACCGACCCUGUUUUUGACCCCAGGAAAUCCCGAACUUACGCCGGAAUCCCCUGUGGAGCCCCUCUCUGCCGCAGGUUAGACUCUCCGGGCUGUAACAAGAACAAGGUUUGCCAGUACCAGGUUUCCUACGGCGACGGUUCCUUCACAUUUGGAGAUUUUUCCACCGAGACACUGACGUUUCGAAAGACAAGAGUCACCCGCGUCGCGCUAGGCUGUGGCCACGACAACGAAGGACUCUUCAUAGGCGCUGCUGGUUUAUUGGGUCUGGGCCGGGGCAGGUUAUCUUUUCCUGUACAGACAGGACGCCGGUUCAACCAGAAGUUCUCUUACUGCCUCGUGGACCGUUCAGCCUCGGCCAAACCAUCCUCUGUUGUCUUUGGAAAUUCCGCUGUUUCCCGAACUGCGCGGUUCACUCCUCUCCUCAAGAACCCCAAGCUCGAUACCUUCUACUACGUGGAGCUCCUCGGGAUCAGUGUUGGUGGCACGCCGGUGCGCGGCUUAUCUGCCUCGCUAUUCCGCUUAGACUCCGCCGGGAACGGCGGAGUCAUCAUCGACUCGGGCACAUCCGUCACCCGCUUGACCCGACCCGCUUACAUUGCUCUCCGGGACGCGUUCCGCGUGGGAGCCUCGCGCCUGAAGCGAGCACCGGAGUUCUCCCUCUUCGACACGUGUUUCGAUCUGUCUGGGCUCACAGAAGUGAAAGUGCCGACUGUGGUGCUGCAUUUCCGCGGUGCCGACGUGUCACUACCGGCGACGAAUUACUUGAUUCCAGUGGAUAAUAGCGGGAGCUUCUGCUUCGCUUUUGCGGGAACCAUGAGCGGUUUGUCCAUAAUUGGUAACAUACAGCAACAAGGAUUCCGGGUAUCAUACGACCUGGCGGGUUCUCGGGUCGGGUUUGCUCCGAGAGGUUGCGUUUGAGUCGUGGUAACGGGAAACAACUGAUUCCCGGUGUUUUCUAAUUAUUAAUAUGAAUUACUGGCAUCGUGUUUUUUAUAAUUUAUUUAAGUUAUAAAAAAAAAGGUUAGAUUAGAAAAUGAAAGCGAGAUCUCAAUCUAGAUCUGGAAGAGGAACUAAAUGAGAAUGUUUCUGUUCUGGUUUCUUUAUAACCUUAAGUUGUCGCGUAUUGUGUUUUUAAUUUUCCAAUUAAAUACAACAAGUACUUCAAUUUGGCAGAAUUUAAUCUUUCAAUUGCUGGUGGUGGUGGUGUAAUAGAUAGAUGAG